rnacentral:lncRNA from 1 species
CUAUUAAAUUGUGUGCUCAUUAAUUAAAACGAGGUUCCUCUCUUUGCAUUUUGUAUCUCUAAACACCCAUCAGAUUGUGUGCACUGAGUAUGUACUCCUCACGCUGUGUGAGUUCAGCCGGAAGUCAGCGCCGCCCAGGGUGGGGAGAAGGAGAGAGCAGCGAAGGGAGCUCACAGGGCUGGAGGUAGCCGUGUGAGCGCACAAAUCCACUUUCAGUUUAAACUCCAAACGCAGACAGGGGACAAAAGAGCCUUAAAACUUCUCAUCACACGAUCCAGAGAGAAGGCAGCUCUCAGAACAAAGAAUGGAAGGUCCCCACAGAGCGAAUUCAGACUUGUGUGCGGCCUCAAGAGAAACGGGGAGCUGCCUCAGUCCAAAGCCGGAGUUCACGAGCAGAUUGGAGGAAGAGAGAAUAAAUACGAAGACGUCUGAGGUGGAGAGGGAGAGGAUCAGAAAAAGAAAUAGGCCUCAGACAUCAUAUGGAAGAGACAAAGAGAGAGAGAAUAAGGUUUCUCCUCAAACAAAACGAUGAGCCUGGCGUCAGGUUGGGCCUGAGUCUGUUGGCGGAGGGGAGCAGCUUUGAAUGAGGUGUGAGAUGAAAGUCUUAAAUUUAACAGAGCCUUCUACUACCUUGAAGUGAGUCAUAAUUACCGUCACGAGGCCAAUUUUUGUUGUUGUUGCUGAAAAUGACCAAAAAGCUCGGGAACUGCCUGCGAUGUCAUUAAGGUAUGGGAAAGGGGAAUCUGACAUAUUGAAAGGCAGUGGUAGGAGGAAAAUACAGCUGCUUCCUGUUUGUACUCAUUACGUUCAGCCCUUUUCAAUAAACUGGUUACACAUCUAUUGAUCCUUAUGUAG